GACGAACGCUGGCGGCGUGCCUAAUACAUGCAAGUCGAACGGAGUGGCGAACGGGUGAGUACUGUAUCGGAACGUGCCCAGUAGCGGGGGAUAACUCCGCGAAAGCGUAGCUAAUACCGCAUACUAUUGGAGCGGCCGCUAGGGGCUUAGCUCGUUGGGGGGGUAACGGUUCACCAAGGCGACGAUCCGUAGCCGGUUUGAGAUGACGACCAGCCACACUGGGACUGAGACACGGCCCAGACUCCUACGGGAGGCAGCAGUGGGGAAUGUUGGGCAAUGGGGGAAACCCUGAUCCAGCCAUCCCGCGUGUGCGAUGAAGGCUUUCGGGUUGUAAAGCACUUUUGGCAGGAAAGCGGUACCUGCAGAAUAAGCAACGGCUAACUACGUGCCAGCAGCCGCGGUAAUAC
rnacentral:rRNA from 1 species